GAUAAACGCUGGCGGCGUGCCUAAAACAUGCAAGUCGAACGGCUCACUUCGGUGGGUAGUGGCGAACGGCUGAGUAACACGUGGGUGACCUGCCUUCGAACGGGGGAUAACUGCCCGAAA
rnacentral:rRNA from 1 species